GAUGAACGCUGGCGGCGUGCCUAAUACAUGCAAGUCGAGCGAACAGACGAGGAGCUUGCUCCUCUGACGUUAGCGGCGGACGGGUGAGUAACACGUGGAUAACCUACCUAUAAGACUGGGAUAACUUCGGGAAACCGGAGCUAAUACCGGAUAAUAUAUUGAACCGCAUGGUUCAAUAGUGAAAGACGGUUUUGCUGUCACUUAUAGAUGGAUCCGCGCCGCAUUAGCUAGUUGGUAAGGUAACGGCUUACCAAGGCAACGAUGCGUAGCCGACCUGAGAGGGUGAGCGGCCACUGGAACUGAGACACGGUCCAGACUCCUACGGGAGGCAGCAGUAGGGAAUCUUCCGCAAUGGGCGAAAGCCUGACGGAGCAACGCCGCGUGAGUGAUGAAGGUCUUCGGAGCGUAAAACUCUGUUAUUAGGGAAGAACAAAUGUGUAAGUAACUAUGCACGUCUUGACGGUACCUAAUCAGAAAGCCACGGCUAACUACGUG
rnacentral:rRNA from 1 species